UACGGGGGGAGCAAGCGUUGUUCGGAAUUACUGGGCGUAAAGGGCGCGUAGGCGGUCUCGUAAGUCCUGUGUGAAAUCCCCCGGCUCAACUGGGGAACUGCACAGGAAACUGCGGGACUUGAGUUCGGGAGAGGGAAGCGGAAUUCCGGGUGUAGCGGUGAAAUGCGUAGAUAUCCGGAGGAACACCGGUGGCGAAGGCGGCUUCCUGGACCGACACUGACGCUGAGGCGCGAAAGCUAGGGGAGCAAACGGG
rnacentral:rRNA from 1 species